rnacentral:rRNA from 1 species
GAUGAACGCUAGCGGCAGGCUUAACACAUGCAAGUCGAGGGGCAGCGCGAUGUAGCAAUACAUUGGCGGCGACCGGCGCACGGGUGCGUAACACGUAUGGAACUUACCCUUUACUGGGAGAUAGCCCGGAGAAAUCCGGAUUAAUAUCCCAUAAUAAACGAGGUGGCAUCACUUUGUUUUGAAAGCUCCGGCGGUAAAGGAUGGCCAUGCGCACGAUUAGCUAGUAGGUGAGGUAACGGCUCACCUAGGCUACGAUCGUUAGGGGGCCUGAGAGGGUUAUCCCCCACACUGGUACUGAGACACGGACCAGACUCCUACGGGAGGCAG